UUGAAAGUCCGUAGACCCACGAUGUUUUGUAAGGCAACGAUGUUUUUCGAAAAUUUCGAUGAACUGUAUGCUACGCGUUAGAGCGAAAGAGAAAGCAUGCUUUGUAUUUUCAUCGAAGUUUCGCUAAGCAUGCUAUCUCGUUCUUUCAUGUUUGCGAAUUUUCGGCACUUCUGUCAAACUCAAAACUUCUCACGUCAUUUGCGUGUUUGGCUGUGAAAAAAAAGUUAGGCCACGACAUUUUUCCGAUGCAAUUCUGGGGUUUCCGGUUCCUGGUGCAGUGCAACGGCAGCGGCUUGAGCUAAUGGCUGGACACCGAUUCUGACGUAGAGGACGCCGACUUGGGCAACGUAACGUCCCCUUUCAGAACCAGAACCAGUCAACAAACAGCGGCUGUGCCAAGUUGCCAACGGUGACCAAGUGGUAUGUUGUGCUGGGGACGAAAACGACCAAUCUGGCAUUCGGUGGUAGCGGAACCGGUGCUGAAGGAGCGUAGGCAAAAACAUUCGGUAGUCGACUCCAGAAACAAUAAAAACGGCAGUCGGUUCCAAAGUAGGGCGACGUGUUCCUUCGGGCGGUCAGUUCAACAGAAGGGGAACGUGGAAUCUGUCCACACGAGUGCUUCCGGCGAGGCUCCCUGAACUCCGCGGCGUCAUACUUCGAAGUAUUCUUCCGAAACGCCAAAUAAGACACCGCCCUCCAUCAGGCGCAAAACCUACCGUAACAGUGUAUCUUCGGGUGAUAGUUCCGGGCCGCGAUAAGCACUACGGCUAGGCCAACACGCAAGUCGGUGUCCGGAAGCGCGCAAAAGUUGCAGAAAAGCGUUACCCAUCGACAAACUGACAACGAUCAAGAGCGCGGAGAAGUUUGCUGGUCAACAAUCUGCAGGACGUGCGCGUGAAAAUGGCCAAGGCCGGGGUCGGUGACAAGAGCCGGCUGAAUCGAGACGAGAGUGAGGUUCGGAGGCCAUGCAGGCGCUUUGGUUUUGUUACGGAACACGAUACAAGUUGUUAGGAAGCUUAAGACGCCGGUGGUGGUUUCUAAGAAGGUGGCCGGUAGGAUCUGGUACAACAUCGGCAGCAUUGGCACCAGCCGGGAUUUCCCCGAUGCCGGAGUGGCCAGCAGGGACGAUGGUGAUCAAUCUCCGGACACAAUCGGAAUGGCGUGGCGUCGGUGUUGCAUGACGGAUUUGGUCGAACGAUGACUUGAGCUGGACGACGGAAUGACAACGCUUCAACAACAAAAGUCUUUUCGCAACCAUUUACUGUUUUCUGUCUGAACACACGAAAGACUUUGAAACAAAGUGCCCUGCGAAGUAGUCCAUCAUCAAACGCGCGAUUCUCGAUCAACGGCGAUUCCGCGAAGGUUCUCUGAACGCCGCGUAUCGCCCAGACAGAACCAGCCGUUUCCCCGGGCAAUAGCAGGACCCGAAAUCCCCCACGUUGUGUUACCUUCCGGAAAACUCCUGAAGCUGCAGUUUGACCAGCGCGUGUUUUCAGCCACGAGAUUAACGGAGCUCGUCAAAUCUCCGCAAAUGGUCCACGUUGCAAAAAAAAAAAUCUUGCCCCAAAGGGCGGCAAUUUCUCGUUCAAAACGAAAGAUGUUGGGUGAUGGAACUGUCACACGGGAUGGCCACGUUACUGCCAGUGCUCUAGGAAUGACGUUACUCGCUUGAAGUUCCGCACUAACACGCCUAGAUUGGCAAAUCGGAACCGGCCCACGUUCUUAGAACUUCUUCCCCGGCCUCUAUCCGGAAUUGACACCCACGACUGCCAUGGCCCUGCAAAUGUCCUUGAUCCACCGCUGCACGGAGCAGUGUCGUAACGUUAACCGAGGACAAAAUGGAAGCUGACCUGCUGGUCGGUUACGGCGAAGUUGCGCUCAGAUGAUUUCAGCCGCCACCCGGCACAUGAACCGCCGUAACCGAGAAGCGGAAGAAGGUUCCGUGGCUGCGGUCAGCACGAAGACUAAAUCCCGGCUUAACGUGAGUGUGGGUAGCCGAACAUGACGAAUACAACAUUCAUAUGCAUCGACCGCAGGCGUGCCGGAAGUCGAUCUGUCCAAAUGGGAAACGCGCAAUCGUUCCAUAACGAACACGCCGGUUACGAGAAGUUCGCCGACGACGACUGGCUCGAUUAGGGGAAAAAAAUCUGAAACUUCCGUUGUCGAAACGCGCUUUACCCGAUUCUAGAGACAAAAGGCACUUCUACUGAACCGACAACGCGGGGCAGGGUCCCCCAAAGCAUCCCAGCUGGGUGGUUCCGAGUCCGACGAUUGUACGCAGUGGCCGGGUGUUGUACGCUACAAAGCUACCACCUUAGCAUAAUACCUUCGCUUUCCAAGACACAAACUUCGGCUACUGUAUCAUUUUGUCUGAGAUCAAAACUUUGGCCUCGUAGCUGAAUCACCUGAUAGGUGGUCAAUUAGCAGCGGAAUCAGUGCUGAAGGUAGUCGGUUGUGAAUUCGCAACAGGCAGUAUGUUCCGUUGUAGCUAAUCCGGUUACGAGGACCGACGAGAAGCUGCAGCACAUCGAGGUGAUUGCCAAUGGACAACGAGUUCGAUUACAACCAAACGCUACAGUUUUCGGACAAUGAGUCGGAACCGAACCCGCCGAAGGAGGUGCCGGUGAAGCAGGUUAGCAAGCAGCAGCUGCAACGCGCGCGUGAAUCGCCUGUCCGUCAACCACCGCUGCCCUUGCAAUAACAUGGCAAUGUCGGCUUUGGAGGACUGGACGCCGAGGCCAAGUCACGUCUCAAGUUGCGUCGUGAAGAGGGCCAGCGAAGGGAGAGGGAACGUAACCAGGAAGCUUCAGGAGCUGUAGCAAGAGCUGAAAAGUAAGAAGGAAGAAAUUAGGGUCUUCACCGGUCAAUGACGAUUUUCUGGAUCAGCAGCCAUCGGCUGCAACUUACAGCGAAUCGAGCGAGGGAAAGAACCGCAGCGAUUCGAGCAAUGCGAUCGGGGUGGCGAUCUGAGAGACAUUAGAUAUCAACGGUAUGAAUACGGAAGUCACGAUCGGUACGGUGGUGAUCGUGACGGCGCCUGGGACAAUCCGCCGUUGUCUAAGAACUUCUAAACUAUUCUACCGCCGAGCUUCCAGAAGCGUAGGCUAGCGUGCACCGGCCCAGCAGCAGCAGGGUGACGGCAAGAGCGGUACUGGCUGGUCUGAUUUGCGGGGAAAUCGGUCGGAAGAUGACGAAGAAGAGAAUUAACAUUGAGUGGUUCCGGUGAAAUUGCCGAACGCCGCGGCCUCUUGGCUUGCCGGAUACGCAGGCCGUGAACCGGCGCAUGAGCGGGAGGCAGCGCCCAAUACGAGCCAGCAGGAACUUUAAAAAACACGGACAACCCCCGAAACGCAACUCGCGUUCCGUCUCGUCCCGGCGAAGCGUAGGAACCAGUCUACAGUGGUGAGUCAACACUUGGUAAAUAAAAACAUUAACAAAUGUAAUUAAUUUACAUAGCGCCGCAAUUGGCAAAUUGCGCAACGAGCUUGUCGCAUUCUUCGGCAAGCACGCCCCGAGCAUGCCUUUCUACUAAAGGUCUACGCUGGUCAGACACUGGCCUUCCUUUGGGCAACAGAUGGAACCUCUGCAACAGAUCGUACUGGAUGUGACUGUUGAAAAGGUACCCGGUCGGGUCGGUGAAGCAAUAAGUCGCCGGAAGCUUGUAAGUUACCUCGAAACAAUGCUGGGCGAAACAGCCUGGAUUGACGUUCAUGACCCUGCAAGUGCGCUGGUAUCAAACUGAUAGCACACCAUGGCCCACCUGCGCAGCAACAGUGCCGGGGAAUCGAUCGUGGCGAUCGUGACCGCGGUACAAGGUCCCACGGGAGAUUAUGAAGCGUCGCAUUUUCUCCAAGGAGGACGAUCGCUUCAGCAGCGGUGCCCGGAGUCAUCCUGCAAGAUAAGCGGCAACGGUGGCCGUACAGCGCCGCAGUCCAAUCGAAGCAGAUUAUCAUCGGUUAGUGAUGCGGAAAAGGAGGAUCGUCGACUGUCGAAGGCAGCCGCUCCGUUGACCGAGGCAAACCACAUGCAGCAGUUCCAGCAGCAACCAGAUUCGCGUUGAAUUUUGGAAUCGUUAGAUCCUAGAGCGGAUCAAGGAAACUCCGGACAAGGCCUUGGGAAGAUUUGGUAGUAGCUGCGGAGGAAGCGAGCUAGUCACGCAAUCUCGUUGGACGAGAUGACGAAAAAAAGUACACUUCCGGAUCGGAUGCUGGCAAGAACGACAGCGGUAGUGUGUCUGCGGACCGUUCAGGUGCAGUCUAUUGAGCUAACGAACAACGAAUCCAACUGGCGGUUCGGUUUUAGAAGCGCAAGACCUACAAUCACCUCCGAGCUCCCGGAGGUUUCCCAGUACAGUACUAGUACCGAAAGCUGCCGUUUGAACAGGUCGUGUUUUCAACGACCCCAACAGUUUAUGUACCGUAGCAUACCAAAAGUCCGACAUCCAGCCACAAGAUUAACGAAGAAUCUCCGGAACCGUGUUCCUAGAAGUUUUUUUCCUCAAGAUUCCCCCAAGACGUUCCUGGAACAUUGCUCCAGCUGCU